rnacentral:rRNA from 1 species
UACAGAGGGGGCAAGCGUUGUUCGGAAUUACUGGGCGUAAAGAGCUCGUAGGCGGCUUGUCGCGUCGACCGUGAAAACUCGCAGCUCAACUGCGAGCCUGCGGUCGAUACGGGCAGGCUAGAGUUCGGUAGGGGAGACUGGAAUUCCUGGUGUAGCGGUGAAAUGCGCAGAUAUCAGGAGGAACACCGAUGGCGAAGGCAGGUCUCUGGGCCGAUACUGACGCUGAGGAGCGAAAGCGUGGGGAGCGAACAGG